rnacentral:ribozyme from 14 species
CAAUUAAAAGGAAAAGGAAAAAUGAUGAUGAAACAGAGAAUCAAUCGUCCAACUACAAAAAGGUUUUUGUUCACCGCACUUCCUUUUUUUUUUUUUUCU